rnacentral:rRNA from 1 species
GACGAACGCUGGCGGCGUGCUUAACACAUGCAAGUCGAACGGUAAGGCCUUUCGGGGUACACGAGUGGCGAACGGGUGAGUAACACGUGGGUGAUCUGCCCUGCACUUUGGGAUAAGCCUGGGAAACUGGGUCUAAUACCGAAUAUGACCAUGGCAUGCAUGUGCUGUGGUGGAAAGCUUUUGCGGUGUGGGAUGGGCCCGCGGCCUAUCAGCUUGUUGGUGGGGUGAUGGCCUACCAAGGCGACGACGGGUAGCCGGCCUGAGAGGGUGACCGGCCACACUGGGACUGAGAUACGGCCCAGACUCCUACGGGAGGCAGCAGUGGGGAAUAUUGCACAAUGGGCGCAAGCCUGAUGCAGCGACGCCGCGUGAGGGAUGACGGCCUUCGGGUUGUAAACCUCUUUCAGCAGGGACGAAGGGUGACUGACGGUACCUGUAGAAGAAGGACCGGCCAACUACGUGCCAGCCGCCGCCGUAAAAC